rnacentral:rRNA from 1 species
GACGAACGCUGGCGGCGUGCUUAACACAUGCAAGUCGUGCGGUAAGGCCCUGCUUUGGUGGGGUACACGAGCGGCGAACGGGUGAGUAACACGUGGGUGACCUGCCUUCAGCUUUGGGAUAAGCCUGGGAAACUGGGUCUAAUACCGGAUAUGACCUUGGGGUGCAUGCCUUGGGGUGGAAAGCCUGUGUUGUUUGGCAUGGGUGGCUGGGGAUGGGCCCGCGGUCUAUCAGCUUGUUGGGGGGUGAUGGCCUACCAAGGCGACGACGGGUAGCCGGCCUGAGAGGGCGACCGGCCACACUGGGACUGAGACACGGCCCAGACUCCUACGGGAGGCAGCAGUGGGGAAUCUUGCGCAAUGGGCGAAAGCCUGACGCAGCGACGCCGCGUGAGGGAUGACGGCCU